UCAGUUUGCUUGCAAACUGGAGAUGGCGACCGGCGCACGGGUGAGUAACACGUAUCCAACCUGCCGAUAACUCGGGGAUAGCCUUUCGAAAGAAAGAUUAAUACCCGAUGGUAUAAUCAGACCGCAUGGUCUUGUUAUUAAAGAAUUUCGGUUAUCGAUGGGGAUGCGUUCCAUUAGGCAGUUGGUGAGGUAACGGCUCACCAAACCUUCGAUGGAUAGGGGUUCUGAGAGGAAGGUCCCCCACAUUGGAACUGAGACACGGUCCAAACUCCUACGGGAGGCAGCAGUGAGGAAUAUUGGUCAAUGGGCGCAGGCCUGAACCAGCCAAGUAGCGUGAAGGAUGACUGCCCUAUGGGUUGUAAACUUCUUUUAUAUGGGAAUAAAGUUUUCCACGUGUGGAAUUUUGUAUGUACCAUAUGAAUAAGGAUCGGCUAACUCCGUGCCAGCAGCCGCGGUAAUACGGAGGAUCCGAGCGUUAUCCGGAUUUAUUGGGUUUAAAGGGAGCGUAGGUGGACAGUUAAGUCAGUUGUGAAAGUUUGCGGCUCAACCGUAAAAUUGCAGUUGAUACUGGCUGUCUUGAGUACAGUAGAGGUGGGCGGAAUUCGUGGUGUAGCGGUGAAAUGCUUAGAUAUCACGAAGAACUCCGAUUGCGAAGGCAGCUCACUGGACUGC
rnacentral:rRNA from 1 species